GUAGGCGUGGAAAGAGGUUGGCGCGCUGGAAGUCCAGUUGCUUCGGCUCCCUGCGUUAGGUCUGGUGGCGGUCAAUGCGCUUCCGGACCCGGGAUCAGAGUGUGUGGAUCGCUAUAGGGGGAGGGGAGCUCAGGGUAGACAACCUCAGCGUGUUGCAGAUUCCCUGCAAGGGGAGUUAGACAUCUGAGUCCUAGACCGAGAUACCAGCUGAAGGAACGCUGCCUGGCGAACCCUGGUGUUCAAGUUCCAGAGGAACGGGAUGAGCUCCUGAGAUGGAAGAUCUGUCCUCUCCAGACUCCACCCUUCUCCAAGGGGGACAUAAUCUACUCUCAUCAGCCAGUUUUCAGGAAGCGGUGACUUUCAAGGAUGUGAUAGUGGACUUUACCCAGGAAGAAUGGAAACAGCUGGACCCUGGCCAGAGAGAUUUGUUCAGGGAUGUGACAUUGGAAAAUUAUACACACCUGGUCUCUAUAGGACUCCAAGUUUCUAAACCUGAUGUGAUUUCCCAGUUAGAGCAAGGGACAGAGCCAUGGAUCAUGGAGCCAAGCAUUCCAGUAGGUACCUGUGCAGAUCUGCUAGGAUCCAGCUUAAGAGAUCCAGUACUGGAGUCGGCAGAACUGGAGUAAAAUCCUGGUCCCUGUAUAUGAGUGAUGGCUGUGGAGAUUUCUAAACCAUCAAGCAAAUAAUUGCCAUCAUAAUCGUGCAUUUUGAAGUAAUGGAGCUGCAAAUCUUGUAGUGACAUCUCCGCCUCUGGUUUGUUGAUGACAUCUUCUGUAAGGGACCCACUCCCUUGUACCUCAGCAUGGGCUGGACCCGAACCCUAAACCUAACAACUGGCAAUGAGAAUGGGAUGAGGAAGUGCCUGCCCAGUCCCUGAGGGAUGCACACAGGGAGGAAGAACCUCCGUUACAGGUUCACCCAAUGGUCUGCCAGAAAAUAGAGCAUGAGCAGCUGUUGGGCCCCAAGGGUGGGCCAGAGACCCCCUACUGUGGUGGAGCACACUUCCUAUGUUGUCUGUGCCCCUGCUAAGUUGUAGGAGUUAAGCAAGUAAUGUUGGCACUCUUGUACAGACUUGGUGCAAGUCAUUUGGGAGAAGGAUGUUGCUGCGCAACCUGGUCCUGCCAGAGUGUUCCAGUUCAAAGAGUACCUGCUGCAGUUGGUGGAAGUAUAAAGCAUUUUCUGUUUGAUAAGAGAACUGGCCAAGGUGCCCGGCUUGGUAGGGGAUACCAGACAACCAAAGGCCAUAUAUGGACUUGGCAAUCCACUGGUCCCUGGACCCGGAUAAGUUUCCAGGGAAGGCUGCAUAGACAGCUAUGAAAGCUGGUCAGUGAAAGUGAAACCUGUGUCUUUGCACCUGGGCAUCAGCUGCUUGGCUCUCCACUUAUGCACUGUGUAUGUCUCUUGCAUGCCUGAGGACAUUCUUGGGGGUGGAUGUUUUGCAAGACUUGGCAGCUGUGCCACCUGUCAUGGACUUGAUGGACCGUUUGACAACAGAACUGGGAUGGUGCCACUGUGUGGUGGACUUGACCAAUGCAUUCUUCUCAAUCAGCAUUGCUCCAGAGAGCCAGGAACAGUUUGCCUUCAUGGGAGGGCGACAAUGGACUUUCAUAGUGUUGCUGCAGGGCUAUAUGUAUAGCCCCAUUAUAUAUCAUUUUCUUAUUAAUGAUGUUAUGUUAACCUCUAGUUCUUUUGCUGGUUUGGAGGCCACAACACCCCUCUUGCCUGGGAUUGGGAUGAUGAGGCUGAAACAGCCCUUCUGAUGACAUAAGCCCUCUGGGUGGUUAACCAGGGUGCCCAUUUAAACUAGAUGUGCAUGUAACCACCAAUAGAGUUGGCUAGGGCCUAUGGCAGUAUAUGGAGUGCUUGGAAGCGCCAGUCAGCUUUUAGUCCCAGCUAUGGAAGGGAGCUGAGCCCCAGUGUUCAUUAAUAAAGAAGCAGUUAGUAACCAUAUAUGCUGCCCUUCAGGUUCAUAAGAGCGUGGCUGGAUGGGUUACAGUCGUGUGGAUGGCUUACCCCAUAGUGGGAUGGGUGCGUUCAUGAGCAAUGACCCCCCCAGACUGGGACAGCACAGACAUCCACUUUAGCGAAGUGGGGCACCUACUUAGAGCAGUGGAGUACGCUAAGUAUAAGUCCCUUAGCAGCAGAGUUGCAAGAGGUCUUGGAACCUGUAGUCCUAAUGCAAGAUAAGGCCAUGGGGCCUGGGGCACCCCUAGACCCCGAGCCUUCACUGUUAGAAAGGGUGUUCUUCCAUUCCUAAUAGGACAUGGUACACAGCUAUGUCUAGUUGGGGUGCCACUGCUGCCUGGACUGCUGGUGCAGUCCAGCCUAGUACUGACACCAUAUGGUUUGAAACCAGGUGUAGACAGCGGGGCAGUCAGGAUUAUCAAUAUCACUGUUUUACAGCUUCACAUCUUAGCUGACUGGAAAGCCUUCCAGGAGCAGUAAUAUGCAUGGAGCUGUCAUCUCCUAUGAUAACAAUGCCUUCUUCUGGAAUACCUUCUGUAGGAUCUGCCUGAGGCUGUUUUACAGUUAACUUUUUUUAAAUAAGUAGAAGUACACUCUAAAAUAUUAAAUUGGUGCAAAAGUAAUUGCCGUUUUUGCCAUUGCAGUUACUUUUGCACCAACCUAAUAACAAUAAAAAGUAAGGUAAAUACACAAACCAGUGAUAUAGUACUUUCCUAUCAGGUAUUAUAUAGUGCUAUUUUUUUUUUUUGAGACCGAGUCUCACUCUUUACCCAGAAUGCAGGCAGUGGCAUGAUCUUGGCUCACGACAACCUCUGCCUCUCGGAUUCAACCGAUUCUUGUGCCUCAGCCUCCCAAGUAGCUGGGAAUAUAGGUGUGAGCCACCACGCCUGGCUAAUUUUUGUAUUUUUAGUAGAGACAGGGUUUCAUCAUGUUGGCCAGGCUGGUCUUGAACUCCUGACCUCAGGUGAUCCACCCGCCUUGGCCUCCCAAAGUGCUGGGAUUACAAGCGUGAGCCACCACACUAGGCCUUUAGUGCUAUACUUUUAUAUGAUUGGCAGUGCAGUAAGUUUGUUUACACCAGUAUCACCACAAACAUAUAAUUGUGCUAUGAUGUCACUAGUUAAUAGGCAUUUUCCAGCUCCAUUAUAAUCUUAUGUGAUCACUGUCAUUUCUGCAGUCCAUUAUUGACCAAAAUGUCCUUGUGUGGUUCAUAACUGUACUCAAAUAUCUACAAAGAGAGUUUCUUCUGGUACCCAGUAAAUAUUUCAUUACUUAAUAUACUCUCCCCCCUGCUCCUGCGAACCUCACUCCAUCCUAAGAACAAUCUUCGCAUCUGCCUUUCUGGACUUUCUGCUAUGAACUAAAUAUUUAUUCACCAGAGAAACUGCUGUAUACUAGGUGUUAUGAAAUAUAAUUUUUUUUAUAUCAAAGACAUUGUAUAAUUACAUGAAGACCAAUGGAGUAAUUCAUCUUAAUUCUAAGUAUUAGAAAAGCUUUGUUUUCCUUGAAGAAUGGACAUAUUUUUUUCCUUCUAAAACAAUGUAAGCAAAUGACCUUCUCAUUUUGGUUGCCAGAAUGCUCAGUUUGUAUCCCUAACUGACUGCCUGUGUAGGUUAUCAUAACUUGUCCUGAUCUCCUAGUGCUCAUUUGUAUGUGUUGUUUUCUAUUUUACUGUAUCUUGUUCGCCAUCUUGAGUCAUUUUUUUACACACAAUGGAGUUAUAAUAAAAUAGCUAUUGCCUAUUAUGAUAAAAGAAA